GGGGGUGUAGCUCACCUGGGAGAGCGCUUGACUGGCAGUCAAGAGGUAAAGGGUUCGAUCCCCUUCAUCUCCA
rnacentral:tRNA from 2 species